rnacentral:rRNA from 1 species
AGUCACUGACAUUAGAUACCCGUGUAGUCCCAGCCGUAAACUAUGCGCGUUAGGUGUAUCGGUGACCACGAGUUACCGAGGUGCCGAAGGGAAACCGUGAAACGUGCCGCCUGGGAAGUACGGUCGCAAGGCUGAACUUAAGGAAUUGGCGGGGAGCACCACAACGGGUGGAGCCUGCGGUUUAAUUGGACUCAACGCCGGACAACUCACCGGGAACGACAGCAAUAUGUAGGCCAGGCUGAAGACCUUGCCUGAAUCGCUG